UACAGAGGUCCCCGAGCGUUGUUCGGAUUCAUUGGGCGUAAAGGGUGCGUAGGCGGCGGGGUAAGUUUGAUGUGAAAUCCCGGGGCUCAACCCCUGGAAUUGCAUUGAAUACUACCUUGCUAGAGUACCGGAGAGGAAACUGGAAUUUACGGUGUAGCAGUGAAAUGCGUAGAGAUCGUAAGGAAGACCAGUGGCGAAGGCGGGUCUCUGGGCCUUACCUGACACUGAGGAGCGAAAGCGUGGGGAGCGAACAGG
rnacentral:rRNA from 1 species